ACGAUACGUCUAUCAUUUGUUAUACAUAUCAUUCGCGGGUUUAUUGCAUGGAAUGUGAAAGAAAAGUGUCUCAAUCGAUAUUCGACGCCGAUAAGUACGGUUCGAUUAUAUUGCAACAACCAUCUGAUUCAAAUACACAAUCAGUUGAACUUGAAGAUAAACUUCGUAUUUUGGUUCCAAUAAAUUGGAAGAUCUUCGCACAGAAAUCUCACUCACUUUCUAAAUUCAACAGCUGAGUGAGUGGCAAACACGAGCGAUUUGGAGAUCUUUGAAUAUUUUUUUGUGUUCAACUGACGUAGAAGCUCGCAUAAUUCGGAGAACAAAAAUGAAGGAACCUACAAAAUCCAUGAACGAUCAGAGUGUUAAAUAUCAGUGCAUAGCAGCAAUAGUCGCGAAUAUAUCAACGGUGGCGUUUGGCAUAGCAGAAGGCUGGCCUAGCCCGAGUAUCUACCUAUUGACGUCUGACAAUACGCCGUUAUCGUCUGGUAAAAUAACAAUGGAAGAAGCCACAUGGAUCGCAUCACUUCUCAGCAUCGGCUG